GUGGAGAUCAGUGUGUACCUGAGGCAUUCUGAAACAUGGAGUUCAGUCUAGAACUGAGGGAUGAGGUUGUGUAGAGCAUAUCUGGUUUUUCCUCGAAGUUAUGGGCUACAAUCAAGACAUGAUACCAUGAUAUGAAGGAAUAGAACAAAACUGAAGUACUUAGUGAGACUAUGAAAGCGUUUUGAACAACAACAACAAAAAAAAGAACCUGGAACUGUUGGCAAUAAUCAGCUGCCCCAUUCAGUUGCUGCACUGGUACAGGACCUUUUUGUCUCUUCAGAAGAAUAAAGCUCGGCAACGUGAAGUCCGUCUACCAGAAGCAGAACCAGAAGCUGAAGCAGAAGGGAUCCCUGGUUUGCAGACUGAAUAUUUUGGCUAUUUUGAGCAACUCAAGGAAGAUAUGAUAGCAGAGUCAAGGAAAGCUUAAAUUAUUCAUGUCUGACACAGGGAUAUUAUCCUCUGCAUAAACAUUGUGUGUUGAAGAGAUGGAAGGUGAACAAAGUACAAAAUGGAUGCAUGAGUAUGAGAGAAAGCGUAUGUGGCAUAUGUUUUUCUAAAUCCUAAAAGAUUGAUUUUAUGCUUAUAUUAACCAUGCAAUUAUUUAAAAUACUGCAGGCUGAAAAAUCCAUUUAUCUGGAAAAUGAGCACAAAGUAAUUAAAACUAGCCAACAAUUUAGUAAUUGUAUCCCAUGCUAUUUAACAUUACUGGGUGGGCAUAUUAAACUAUAGGACAUCUGGAGGAUGAGGGUAAAAACAGUCCACACUGGUGCCAGAGUUGGCCUAAGUUCGUAAUUGUCUGAAACAGACCUCUAUGCCAAUUAGCAUCAAAUAGACAUCUGCUUUAUACAUUUAGGAUCUGAUUGAAUGAGUCAAACUUUUACUCAUCAAAGCUAACUAUCAACACCAAGACCUACCAAAACCAUUCUAUGGGAACAGAUACACGAGGAUAAUGUUGAAUGUCAGAAGUAAAAGGAGAAAAAAGAAGGGGAAAGAAAGGGGGGAACAGUCGUGGGUGGGCCCCUAUUUAAUAAUUGCAAAAGGAUAAAUGAGAAUUUAGCAAAAAUGAUUCAUUUACAGAAAAAUCAGACCUUUGUUUAGUAAUCAAAUUAACUUGCAUGUAAAAGAGGACAGACUCUUACCUUCUAGUAAAUGCUAUAUAUGGUUAAGUUUCCUCUGCCAAAGCCAAUUAAAACAAUGAUUUUUUCAAAUAAAAGAGUGAGUAAUGGAGCAACUACGUAUGGAAAUGAAAGCAAGCUCUGUUUCAGUAGUGUUAUUUACAAUGAUAAACAUUAUCAGAGGAUGAUGCAUAUAACAACACCCAAGUUGGGGAUAAACAGUUUGUUUGAAAAGAAGCUCACGCUAAAGUUAGAUAAAGUUUAGUAUUCUAGGCUUUUAUUCUGCCUUUUUUCUUAAACAUACAAAGGAAUAAUAUCCCUCCUCUUAUUCAUUUGAGCUUUGCAAAAAUAGUGUGUUAGAGGUGAUGAUUUUGUGAUAAUUGGAGGUGUAUAAACUGAGACUAUUACUUCAAGAAUCCUGAGAAUAGCUUUGUUAUACUUACUAGCAAUGAUGAAUUAAGAAGUGCCUAAAAAAAAAGAUAGGACUGGAUACAUAGGACUUUUACUGGAGCUAUAAAAUUGCAUUGUACAAUUCAUUUCUUAAGGACUCCAAAUAAAGAUUUAUUUUCUGUAUAGUGUACAAACAGUCUCAGAAUCACAAAAGAAGAUAGGUUAAAAAAAAAAUAGAGAGAUCUGCUACAAAAUAUGGACAUGCUAACAGCUAGGGAACCAAAUGCUGUCAUUGUUCAUAUGCAGUUGAUGGUUUGAGACACAGUGGAUAGGAGUGGUUUGAAAGUAUCCGUGAAAGUAGAAGAAAACUGCAGUUGUCUGUACAGAACCACUAAAGAAACAGAAAUUCAUUCACAGUAGAAUCUGUCCCAAAGACACCUUCUGCACUGGGAAGCUGCAGUCUAUUAUUAGAAGAUCUCUGGGGUUUCCAGGAUCUUUGAGGUGCAUGGAAGAAGGCAGAACACAGUCUCUUAACUUUUCUGAUGUUUCAAAAUGUGGACAUCAAAGGAAAGCAGCAUUGAAAGAGGGAAAGAUAGAGUGUGAGGAAAACAACAGAGAUAAAAGUUGAAAAUAGCUAGGUAAAAACCAGAAGACUGAACCUGACAUGAUAUUUCUUAAAUGUGUUCCUUUGCAGCCAAAACUCAGUGAAAGCUCUUAAGAAGACUUUAUACAUAAUAGUUAUUUUCUGAAUUUCAAAGCCAUUUUAUGCUAUUUUGUGUAUUUGUCCAUCUCAAGGAAUGGCUUAAAAUAAAAUCAGCAUGGCUAAAUGUAAUUAGAUGUUUAUUAUCCAUUUCUGAAAGGAGUGAUGUAUUUCCCAUUAUUGCAAAGACUUCAGAGAGACUAGCUGACUGUCUCUGGGACAGUCUUUUUCAACUCAAAGUAACGCUAUGAAAAAAAGAAUGUUCUUUUUAAGAAAAUGGAAAGAAACUUGUCUAACUUUUUUGUUGUUGUUAUUUAGAGAGAUGCAGGUUGUCCUACCUUCAACCGGAUGUAGCUAAUCAGGGAUGUUAAUUUCAGUAGGUCCCAGUUUGGUCUCCCAGGCAGUGUAGUUUGUAUUUGGGUUGAAGCUGUAUAUUGCAUGUUUAGUCCUGCUCUCUUUCAUAAGUAGUAGAUCUGUUUUUGUAAUCUCACUGGAAACUACUAAAAAGAAAGCCAAACUUCUUGCAUCUGAUAUAAAAACAAACUGUAUGCAUGUCACUUACUCUUGUGAGGUGCUAUAAGGUGUGUUUCCAUUAAGACCAUUUCUUUACCAGGAAAUAGAGAAAACCAAGCCUACCACAUACCAGAAACGUGCUUCUUGUGGAGACAUAGCUUGAACCGCAGCAAUCUCCAGAGGAUUCUCUGAGGUGCCCAUCUGGCUGCAGACAUCCAAAAAACAACUCCAGAAUAAAGCUUCUCUGCUAUCUUUUAUUAUUACUGUUAUUAUUCACCGAGCUCUGCCAGCUGAUAUCAACUGUAUCUUCCACCUGAAAGACUGAGAUCUUUCCAGGUGGAAGAACUGUGUCAGAAUGUAGGCACGUGUGGCAUCCAGCUUGAGGUAACAUUCCCAAAGGCAGGAGUAGUAAGGAACAUGGGGAAUUGCUUGCAGGGAUUCAAUGCAACAUUCAAUAACGGCUGCAUUGAAACAUGGGAAAGUCUAGUCAAAUUAUUCUUGUAAGGAUUCAGCAUUGUCCUCUAUGUAAAUAGCCUUUGUCUAGAGACACAUUCAGUCUUUAUCUGAAUUCAGAGAAACCUUUGUUACACAGCCUGUGAAAGAACAAAACAAGUUGUUCUAGGAAUAGGCAAAAUAAUCAGUGCCAGGAAAAUCCAAGACAUUAAGUGAA